AUAUACAGAGGAUGGCCAAAGCUGUGAGAUGGGAUACAAAAAGGUGGUUUAGAUUUCGUGACAGAAGGGUUUAGAUUUUGUGAUAUCUGGAGCCACUGGCUGAGGAAGUAUAUUUGAAGUGGCUGAAAGAGGCAUCUAAAUUCUGUUUGCACCAUCUGAAGAGAGGUUAGUGUCUAGUACCAGACAGUUGAUAGGAAACAUUUGCAGAAGGACUGUGUGAAAAAAAAACCCAUCAGUCUCUUGAACAGUGAUGAUAAGUUCAGGCAGGUAGAGAGGAGCUUUUAUAGAACUGGAAUUCAGACUGCUAAACUGUUUUUUGCUUUCUUCUUAUAUUUGGGCAGGAACAAGUACAUUGCUGUUCUGGUGCCAAGGCAGGUGGCCCAACUCUAGCACCUAAUCCUUUCUCCAAAUUCCCUUUGGAACAGCCUGAGGAUUUGGAAGAUGCUAUGGAGGCUUCAAAGCAUGUCUGUUUUUGCUUACUGGAGUUGUACAUCACUUGAAAUGUGCAUCCUAGGAUGUGAGUUUUCUUUAAGCCUAAUGAAAAGGAGGCAGACUGGCUGGCAUGCUGAGUGUUUAAGGAGCUCAGAAUCUCAUUGAAGUGGGUUGCCUAAUGCUAAUAGGUGUCGAAAAAUUUAAACCAAACAAAGCCAGGAGAAAUAAAAAGGCAGAGUGGAAAGGACACUCUCCCUAGAUUACAAAUAGAGCACUGCAUUUUCACUAGUUUACAGAAUAGAGCACUAAGGUCCUUUGGACUUCAAAUGUCACAUUCAAGACUGCAAAACCGAUGGAGUGCCCUGGAAACAGAACAAGAAUGUUCAAAAUGUGAAGGAGCAGAAAGCAGCACUCCUAUUCCAUAAAACACAUCAAGACUUCAAACACAUUUUCAUUGUUGCAAAGAAGAGACAAACAACACUUUGCAAAGUCAUAAAAAUAUUCUCACUAUGAUUGAAGUUGUUUACAGUGGACAGGAAACAUGGAGAUAAAGGAAGUCAGCAUUAGAAAAUUAAGAGUUAAUUUGGGA